rnacentral:tRNA from 1 species
UGAGGUAUAGCUCAGUGUUAAAGUGCUUGCCUAGCAUGUGUGAGACCCUGGGUUCAAUUCCCAGCACUGCUA